rnacentral:rRNA from 1 species
UACAGAGGUCCCAAGCGUUGUUCGGAUUCACUGGGCGUAAAGGGUGCGUAGGUGGUCGGGUAAGUCCGAUGUGAAAUCUCCAGGCUCAACCUGGAAAUGGCAUUGGAUACUAUUCGGCUUGAGGAGUGGAGGGGGGACUGGAAUUCUCGGUGUAGCAGUGAAAUGCGUAGAUAUCGAGAGGAACACCUGCGGCGAAGGCGGGUUGCUGGGCUGACACUGACGCUGAUGCGCGAAAGCUAGGGGAGCGAACGGG